UACGGGGGGAGCAAGCGUUGUUCGGAUUUACUGGGCGUAAAGGGCGCGUAGGCGGUCGUGACAAGUCACUUGUGAAAUCUCCGGGCUUAACUCGGAACGGUCAAGUGAUACUGUCGGACUAGAGUACAGAAGGGGCAACUGGAAUUCUCGGUGUAGCGGUGAAAUGUGUAGAUAUCGAGAGGAACACCUGCGGCGAAGGCGGGUUGCUGGGCUGAUACUGACGCUGAGGCGCGAAAGCCAGGGGAGCGAACGGG
rnacentral:rRNA from 1 species